rnacentral:lncRNA from 1 species
CCCAGAGCAAUGGCCAAAUGUCCAUUUUUCAGCUCUGUCAGGCCUGGUGCUGUGACCCCUUCCCUGGGGAGGCUGUGCCAGUGCCCAACCACCCUCUGGCUGAAGAACCUGGUCCUCCUAUCCAAGCUAAGCCUUCCCUGGCACAACUUCCGUGCCAUCCUCUUGGCUCUUCUCACUGGCCCCAAGACUGAAGGCAAGCCUGAAGGCAAGACUGCCUGUCCCUCAGUCUUCCCCUCUUGAGGACACUGCAGGCUGCCACAGGCUCCUGCCUCGCAAGUUCCACGUGAAAAACCCAGCAAUUGCACCAAAUUGAGGGGAGCUGGGACGCAGGAGCUUGUGCUUUGCAAUGACGACGAGGAGGAGAAGGAAGGCUAGCGACACAUCUUGGCUGAAUUCUUUUUAUCUGGGCCAUUGUUUUGCUCUCUUCCAGGUGCAAAGGAGAGGCACAAUGAAAAGGAAAGCAAGAGCCCACACUGGACCACACAUCAGGGUUGGCAGUGACUUUCAGGCUGAGCUCCCCGAGCUGCAGACCACAGCAGCGAGUGAGGAGGAAGAGCAUGCAUCCCUGGUCUGGAAGCCUUUGGAGGAAGAUGACUCUGACAUGGGAAAACCUGACAGAGUAAGACAGCUCUUGGACAUGGCCAGCGCCCGUGGCGUUUCCGGGCCAGCGGCUAACCUGGAGCUGGCCCUGCACUGCCUGCACCAGGCACGCGGCAGCCUUCCGGUAAGAAGCGGCUCUUUGGGUGCCCAGAAGAGCGGACAGGGAAUUCCUAAGGCCUGGGCACUGGGAUAGCCACUCCUGGCUGCUCUUUGAAGAAGGGGGGCUAACAAGGAGUGGAGAACUUGCUGCCCGCUGUGUCUCCUCCAGCUACAGCAGAGGCGAGCCCAAAUGGCUUGAGCAGGGAGAAUAUCUCUCCUGGAGGCGCUGCUGGCAGCUCCCACAGCCUGCUCCCUUGUCGAUCUCCCGCACAUCUGUGUGCUCUAACACAUUCUGCGGGGAACUGAGGGGAAAUCCCCACAAGCCUCAGUGAGCGCAGGCAAUUCUGGCUUCAGG